rnacentral:misc_RNA from 1 species
GCAGCCACCAGUGAUUCCAG